rnacentral:rRNA from 1 species
GCAAUUGGUGGAUGCCUUGGUGCCAAGAGGCGAUGAAGGACGUAGCAAGCUGCGAUAAGCCACGGUUAGCCGCAAGCAGGCUUUGACCCGUGGAUUUCCGAAUGGGACAACCCGUCUGCCCCUCAAAGGCAGUCAUCUGCAGUUGAAUGUAUAGACUGUAGAAGCGAUACGGGGUGAAGUGAAACAUCUCAGUACCCCCAGG